rnacentral:pre_miRNA from 1 species
AGAGGAAUAGCUGGGUUAAAUGAUGGUUCCAUUUCCAGCUUUCCAAGGAAUCUCCAUACUGCUUUCCAAAUUGGUUGCACCAAUUGCAGUCCCACCAGCAAU